CCUACGGGAGGCUGCAGUGAGGAAUAUUGGUCAAUGGCCGGAAGGCUGAACCAGCCAAGUCGCGUGAGGGACGACUGCCCUAUGGGUUGUAAACCUCUGUUAUAAGGGAAGAAGAAAUGAUACGUGGAGCAUGAUGCCUGUACCUUAUGAAUAAGCAUCGGCUAACUCCGUGCCAGCAGCCGCGGUAAUACGGAGGAUGCGAGCGUUAUCCGGAUUUAUUGGGGUUAAAGGGUGCGUAGGCGGUUUUUUAAGUUAGUGGUUAACCGUCGGGGCUUCACCUUGAUUUGCCAUUUAUACUGUAAGACUCGAGUUCAGACGCGGUAGGCGUAAUCAGUUCCGUAGCGGUGA
rnacentral:rRNA from 1 species